rnacentral:rRNA from 1 species
AUGGGCAACUGCUGCGCGACGCCGCCGGCGGUGGACGGUGGCGGCGGCGGCGGCGGGAAGCAGCAGAAGGAGCCGAAGCAGAGGAAGGGCAAGAAGCCCAACCCCUUCUCGAUCGAGUACAACCGGUCGGCGCCGCCGGGGGCCUCCAGGCUGGUGGUGCUGCGGGAGCCCACGGGGACGGGCCGGGACAUCGCCGAGCGGUACGAGCUCGGCGGGGAGCUCGGCCGCGGGGAGUUCGGGGUCACCUACCUCUGCACGGACCGCGCCACCAGGGAGGCCCUCGCCUGCAAGUCCAUCUCCAAGAAGAAGCUGCGCACCGCGGUGGACGUCGAGGACGUGCGCCGCGAGGUGGAGAUCAUGCGCCACCUCCCCAAGCACCCCAACAUCGUCAUCCUCAGGGACACGUACGAGGACGACAAUGCCGUGCACCUCGUCAUGGAGCUCUGCGAGGGCGGGGAGCUCUUCGACCGGAUCGUCGCCAGGGGCCACUACACGGAGCGCGCCGCCGCUGUGGUCACCAAGACCAUCGUCGAGGUCGUGCAGAUGUGCCAUAAGCAUGGAGUGAUGCACCGGGACCUCAAACCAGAGAAUUUCUUGUUUGCAAACAAGAAAGAAACCGCGGCGCUGAAAGCAAUUGAUUUUGGCCUGUCUGUUUUUUUCACUCCAGGUGAACGGUUCACUGAGAUUGUUGGAAGUCCUUAUUACAUGGCUCCAGAGGUGUUAAAGAGAAACUAUGGCCAAGAGGUUGAUGUUUGGAGUGCAGGAGUGAUUCUUUACAUCCUUCUUUGUGGUGUCCCUCCAUUCUGGGCAGAAACUGAGCAAGGUGUUGCUCAAGCAAUUAUCCGGUCUGUCAUUGACUUUAAAAGAGAUCCAUGGCCUAGGGUCUCAGAUAAUGCAAAAGACCUUGUCAGGGGAAUGCUUAACCCAGAUCCAAGGAGGCGUUUGACAGCUCAGCAAGUGCUUGAUCAUCCCUGGUUGCAGAAUAUUAAGAAGGCUCCAAAUGUCAAUUUGGGUGAGACAGUUAAGGCCAGACUUCAACAGUUCUCUGUGAUGAACAAGUUCAAGAAGCAUGCACUUAGGGUCAUAGCUGAGCAUCUUUCGGUAGAAGAGGUGGCCGGCAUAAAGGAUAUGUUUGAAAAGAUGGACCUGAACAAAGACAGUAUGAUUAAUUUUGAUGAACUGAAGCUUGGUCUGAAUAAACUUGGCCACCAAAUGCCUGAUGCAGAUGUCCAAAUACUAAUGGAUGCUGCUGACGCUGAUGGAAAUGGGUGCUUAGACUAUGGAGAAUUUGUUACUCUGUCUGUUCACCUGAAAAAGAUCGGCAAUGACGAACAUCUGCAUAAGGCAUUUGGAUACUUUGAUCGGAACAAGAGUGGAUAUAUUGAAAUUGAUGAACUCCGGGAGUCAUUAGCUGAUGAUCUGGGACCAAAUCAUGAAGAGGUUAUCAAUGCCAUCAUCCGUGAUGUAGACACUGAUAAGGAUGGCAAGAUAAGCUUUGAUGAGUUUGUGGCAAUGAUGAAGGCCGGAACCGACUGGAGGAAAGCCUCGAGACAAUAUUCGAGAGAACGGUUCACUAGCCUCAGCUUGAAGCUGCAGAAGGACGGAUCGUUGCAGAUAACAAGUACCCAAUAG